rnacentral:rRNA from 1 species
CCCUCAACCCACUCUAUCUUGUCUGUGCUCGAUCUCAUCUGAUCUCGGAAGCUAAGCAGGGUCCAGCCUGAUUAGUAUUUAGAUGGGAGAAUAGUGAGAAGUGAGGGG